rnacentral:misc_RNA from 1 species
UUCGCCCUAGGUCAUUUAGCAGUUAAUGUCACAAAGCACUGCGGUAUCCAGAGAUGGGCAACUUUCCUCGUGCACAUUCCAACCUAAGACUUGGGGCCCGGUGGCGAUAGGGUUACCUAUGAUGGGUAAGGCUGUGACAUUAGAGGAACGACCUAAAACAGGAGCCACGGCGGAUGGGCAUAAUUACACAGGCCUAG